rnacentral:lncRNA from 1 species
GAAGGAAGACUUCCUUAUGCCACUUUCAAACAUUCUUUGUAUUCUCUGUUUUCUCCAGAAAGGUUCCCAACCUAUUCCUAAACAAAGCACGGUCAGAUGGCAUUGGGAAGAGGACUGCAGAGCCCAAGGACAUUGCUAAUUCUUUGGAACUCGUUGUCAUGGAGCAAGGUAGACUGAAAUUAGCAUGUGUCCAAAUUAAAACUGCAGACUUCAAGGAUUAUUUGAUGGACUAUUCUGAGACCCUUUCCUAAAGAUUUAGGAAAAAAGUGAGUUGAUUUUUAUUAAACUUCAGAUUGUAUUUGUGAUUUAAAUUA